rnacentral:rRNA from 1 species
AGCCUCCUACGAGAGGCAGCAGUGAGGAAUAUUGGUCAAUGGGAGAGAUCCUGAACCAGCCAAGCCGCGUGAGGGAAGACGGCCCUAUGGGUUGUAAACCUCUUUUGUCGGAGAACAAAACCCGGGACGUGUCCCGGACUGCGUGUAUCCGAAGAAAAAGCAUCGGCUAGCUCCGUGCCAGCAGCCGCGGUAAUACGGAGGAUGCGAGCGUUAUCCGGAUUUAUUGGGUUUAAAGGGUGCGUAGGCGGAAUAUCAAGUCAGCGGUAAAAAUUCGGGGCUCAACCCCGUCGUGCCGUUGAAACUGA